GGUAUAAGAUAUUUUUCCACUUUAUACCAUCACAUUAUUUCUUCAUGGAAAAGAUAAAAACUGACUAUCGAGUCAGAAAACAGUUUUAAUAAAUAAACGAGGCUUGCUUUAAGACUCAACUCACAUCAUGCGUCUCAUAGCAGAUGAGAAGAGCCUGAUUUGUUUAAUAUAUUGGCGCAAAAUCCGCGAGGCUCUGCAAUGCGUCAGUUUUCCAUCCGCUCCACGAGGCGGCGCAAUCGGGUUUCUCCUUCAGUCUGACUUCCUCGCUGCUUGACCACGUGACGCGUGACGACAGUCACAACAACAACACGUGCAGGUCCUGCAGAUGAUUUAGUCUUAAAAGCUGUCAGUGUCACUUUGACAGCACAUCUUUCAGCUCACCUGCAAACAAAACCGACACACAGUCUGAUAAAACCGAGUGUCACGCGACUCACCUAAGAAGUGAUGUGUUGUUGGUUGGAAGCAGAGCUCUGGACGUGUGGACAGAUGUUGACUGUAAUGAUGGACAUCUGCUCAUGGACAGAAGAAGUGAUGUGUUGUUGGUUGGAAGCAGAGCUCUGGACGUGUGGACAGAUGUUGACUGUAAUGAUGGACAUCUGCUCAUGGACAGUGUGUGCAAAAGUAUAACCGCUGCGGGUCACAGUGCUGGAAGCUCCAGGGGGAGACCGUACUGAUAUCCCCCUUCUUCAGGCGCGCCUUCACACACACUCCUCCAUUCACUCGUAUCGCAGAGACCUGGCUGGGAUCGAACCAGCAACCUCUGAACCGUGAGGCAGCGCUCUUACCUGCGAGCCACAGAUCUCUUGCUGGAGCACCUGAAGGAACUUAUAUUUGACUGUUUACCUGUGAUUUCCCAAUAAAGCGCUUAAAGUGAUCA
ensembl:lncRNA